rnacentral:rRNA from 1 species
AUACGGAGGGUGCGAGCGUUAUCCGGAUUUAUUAGGUUUAAAGGGUGUGUAGGCGGGAGCCUAAGUCAGUGGUGAAAUCUCACAGCUUAACUGUGAAACUGCCAUUGAAACUGGGUUUCUUGAGUAUAGUUGAGGUAGGCGGAAUGUGUAAUGUAGCGGUGAAAUGCAUAGAUAUUACACAGAACACCGAUUGCGAAGGCAGCUUACUAAGCUAUUACUGACGCUGAUGCACGAAAGCGUGGGUAGCGAACAGGAUUAGAAACCCGGGUAGUCC